UGAUCCUGGCUCAGAAUGAACGCUGGCGGCGUGCUUAACACAUGCAAGUCGAACGAUGAAACCUAGCUUGCUAGGUGGAUUAGUGGCGCACGGGUGAGUAAUAUAUAGAUAACGUGCCUCUUAGUCUGGGAUAGCCAUUGGAAACGAUGAUUAAUACUAGAUACUCCUUCUAACUCUAAUGUUAGUUGGGAAAGUUUUUCGCUAAGAGAUCGGUCUAUAUCCCAUCAGUUAGUUGGUAGUGUAAGAGACUACCAAGGCAAUGACGGGUAGCGGGUUUGAGAGGAUGAUCCGCCACACUGGUACUGAGACACGGACCAGACUCCUACGGGAGGCAGCAGUGAGGAAUAUUGCACAAUGGAGGAAACUCUGAUGCAGCAACGCCGCGUGGAGGAUGACGCAUUUCGGUGUGUAAACUCCUUUUAUAUGUCAAGAAAAUGACGGUAGCAUAUGAAUAAGCACCGGCUAACUCCGUGCCAGCAGCCGCGGUAAUACGGAGGGUGCAAGCGUUAUUCGGAAUCACUGGGCGUAAAGGACACGUAGGCGGGAAGCCAAGUCUGAUGUGAAAUCCUACAGCUUAACUGUAGAACUGCAUUGGAAACUGGUUACCUAGAGUAUGGGAGGGGGAGAUGGAAUUAGUGGUGUAGGGGUAAAAUCCGUAGAUAUCACUAGGAAUACCUAAAGCGAAGGCGAUCUCCUGGAACAAUACUGACGCUAAGGUGUGAAAGCGUGGGGAGCAAACGGGAUUAGAUACCCCGGUAGUCCACGCCCUAAACGAUGUUCACUAGUCGUCGGGAUGCUAGUCAUCUCGGUGAUGCACUUAACAGAUUAAGUGAACCGCCUGGGGAGUACGGUCGCAAGAUUAAAACUCAAAGGAAUAGACGGGGACCCGCACAAGUGGUGGAGCAUGUGGUUUAAUUCGAAGAUACGCGAAGAACCUUACCUAGCCUUGACAUUGAUUGAACUCAGUAGAGAUACAGAGGUGCCCUUCGGGGAACAUGAAAACAGGUGCUGCACGGCUGUCGUCAGCUCGUGUCGUGAGAUGUUGGG
rnacentral:rRNA from 1 species